GAUGAAGAACUUAGCGAAAUGCGAUACGUAGUGUGAAUUGCAGAAUUCAGUGAAUCAUCGAAUCUUUGAACGCACAUUGCGCCCUUUGGUAUUCCUUAGGGCAUGCCUGUUCGAGCGUCAUUUAAACCUUCAAGCUAAGCUUGGUGUUGGGUGACUGUCCGCUUCACGGCGGACUCGCCUCAAAAUUAUUGGCGGCCGGUACAUUGGCUUCGAGCGCAGCAGAAACGCGAACUCGGGCCCGUCGUAUUGGCUCCCAGAAGCUAUCUUCACAAUUUUGACCUCGGAUCAGGUAGGGAUACCCGCUGAACUUAAGCAUAUCAGUAAGCGGAGGA
rnacentral:misc_RNA from 1 species